rnacentral:rRNA from 1 species
UACGUAGGGUGCAAGCGUUAAUCGGAAUUACUGGGCGUAAAGCGUGCGCAGGCGGUUUAUGUAAGACAGAUGUGAAAUGCCCGGGCUUAACCUGGGAACUGCAUUUGUGACUGCAUGGCUAGAGUUUGGCAGAGGGGGGUAGAAUUCCACGUGUAGCAGUGAAAUGCGUAGAUAUGUGGAGGAACACCGAUGGCGAAGGCAGCCCCCUGGGUCAAGACUGACGCUCAUGCACGAAAGCGUGGGGAGCAAACGAGG